rnacentral:rRNA from 1 species
GCCCUUAGGUGGAGGAUAAUCUCGGGAAAUUGAGGAUAAUACUCCAUAGAUCAUGAAAUCUGGAAUGAUUCAUGGUUCAAAGUUCAGGCGCCUAAGGAUCGGUCUGCGGCCUAUCAGGUAGUAGUGGGUGUAACGUACCUACUAGCCUAUGACGGGUAUGGGCCUUGAGAGAGGGAGCCCAGAGUUGGAUUCUGAGACACGAAUCCAGGCCCUACGGGGCGCAGCAGUCGCGAAAACUUCACAAUGGGGGCAACCCCGAUGAGGGAAUUCCUAGUGCUAGCACUUUUGUGUUAGCUUUUCUUUAGCGUAGAUAACUAGAGGAAUAAGGGCUGGGUAAGACGGGUGCCAGCCGCCGCGGUAAUACCUGCAGCCCAAGUGGUGGUCGAUUUUAUUGAGUCUAAAACGUUCGUAGCCGGUUUAAUAAAUCCUUGGGUAAAUCGGGAAGCUUAACUUUCCGAAUUCCGAGGAGACUGUUAAACUUGGGACCGGGAGAGGCUAGAGGUACUUCUGGGGUAGGGGUAAAAUCCUGUAAUCCUAGAAGGACCACCGGUGGCGAAGGCGUCUAGCUAGAACGGAUCCGACGGUGAGGGACGAAGCCCUGGGUCGCAAACGGGAUUAGAUACCCCGGUAGUCCAGGGUG